UGUGAAUCUGCUCAGCCAUCUAUCUGCCUGAGUGACCCAAGUUGUCUCCUAGCUCGGGCCAAUAGGUAUGAUCACGAACUUCAAUUCGUCCCGGGAGAGCAGUUGGUCCUCGCUGACGUGCUGUCAAGGUCGUGGCCAGCAAGCAGCGAGGACAAUAGCGGCUCUACGGAAGACGUCGAAGUCCACGCCGUCGUUGUCAUAUCCGAAUUGGUAAAGCCUCUCUCGAGGACGACCGGUCGCCAGGAUAACGUUUACAAGGAAGAAGACUUCGCGCACGACUUUCAAACGUCACGUCGCAACCACGCUCCCAAGUGAUCAAGCGGAAGAGACUGGAAAGGCGAAUGGCGAGUAUACUGGGGCACUCAGUAAGGGAGAAACAGUUACUAUACGGUGAAAGAGAGAGCAUCUGCUUAAUACGUGAGAAACGUUCCUUUGUGAGAUUGCACAUUGCAGUGACUCGGUCAGCGAGGGAGGAACGGACACUGAGCCUUUGUCAUAGUGCACAACUAUUCGUGCUCCAGGUACACAACAUUUAGUUCCAGGUCAAGUACCAACGCCGGCUCCCGAGGCAGUCUAUACAUGUCAAACAACACAACCGCGAAGACUUCACUAUGGCAGCAAUUUCAGUUAAGCUUGUUCAGUUUCUAAGCAGAACCAACUUUGUUUAAACCAGGGGAAAUUUAUGAUGCAAGCUAUCAAGUUACGGCAUCUGCGCAUGUCAAUCAGCCACGGAGCCAAUAUAUGGGCGUGCGAUUGCUGAAUAAACGCUCUCCGUUUGUUUGCACGUGUGACACUAUAAUAAGAAAAUUGAAAGAUUAAUUUCAAACAAAAAGAAACUUCCUGGAAUUUAAUUACUUGUUUACCGCAACGUCAUUUGCGGAAUGCGCAUGUGCGUCGCUCCCAUCUGCAGAACUAUUAAGCCGUAAUAUGGCACUCAAGUACAUUAUCCGAAAUUGUGAAAGGCUGUUAUUUUAGGCGGCUCCCGUGGAGCCUUUAGCCGCUCGUCCAUAUAGCGCGAACGUUGACUCACCUCCUUUACGUAAAGUACUUAAGAUGGCCCAUCGAAUCACACCUGAAGGAAGAACAGCAGUUUCAGUGGACACUAUCACACAUUGGUAUCCCAGGAAACGAGGCAGCUGAUGCGCUGGCGCCGUCCAGCCAACAACCUAGACUUUACCAAUGAUAACUUGCGUAAAUUCGACGACGCUAGGCGGCUUAUACGCCACCACAGCGCUCAUACACGGAUGAAAGUUUUGCCGAGGGAUCGUACCUCACCCCAAUCUCUGGCCGUGCUUUAACUCGCCGCAGUAAGUCUAUACUUCUCAAGUUACGCACUACGCAUGUAAAUGUCGCAAGUCGCCUUCACCGACAAGGAUGUGCGCCGAGCUCUUCGUGCUUUGCAUGUGAACAGUGAAAUUCUUCAACACUUGCUGUUAGAAUAUUCCAACGUUCAACAGUUGUCAUGAUGUCCUGGUGAGCAAGUUCCAACAACUAAAUCUUGCUCGAACUGAGCUUAACGAUAUCUUGUUUACAAAAGUUCGUGCUUUAUCUUGAUAUGAGGCUCACAAAGCUAUGCUUGAAUCCUUGACAACCAUUGGACUACAGACUCUCGUCUGUAAUACUCGUACUCUGCGUCGGACUGUGUGAUGUGCUGUUCAUUUUUCUCUUUUGUCGUCCUUUAACUUCUUGCUUUCUUUUUUGCUCUCCUCUGCAAGCGGGUUGGCAUGGUGUCCCUUCUAGGAGACAAAUGCUAGCCCGCUUUUCUUUCUCUUUGUGGUGUUUGUAUAUAUUUACAUGAUCAAUAAUAAAGGCCCAACCACAUUGAGUGCGGGAUACGCGUCUCGCUAAGCGUGUACGUGAGCGUACGCCUUUCCGAGUACGUACCCAUGUGACGAAAGGAAGGGCGACCAGUCACACAAGUGAGCACUUCAUUGCGCGCGGCACAGUGCUACUAGAUCAGGGGAAACGUACGUGCUUAGGUGCCCCGUAUAUGACACCCGUAUAAAUUCCGAGCACUUGCUUGUUACGGCAGCGUUAGGCAUCAAAUUUCUCGCCACCUCGACCCGCAAGCACUUCGUCACGUGCUUAUUCUUAUGCUGCUUGUGCUUCGCGGUGAAACAGCAGGCCGAGAGGUGAUUGCGCCUCAGCGCAGGCGUUUCUUUAUUGAUAGCGUUCAUUGUCUUUGCGUGACACGGGACCAACGCAGCGGUGACUCCCGACGUCUCAGCGCGAUUCCGAAACCACUUCCGUCGCGGACGCUCAACGCAAUGACGCGUGCGCGGCCCGCGUGUCUCUUCUCUCUAGACGCGUGGGGCAAACGCGCACGGCAUUGCAGACACAGGACGCGUAGCCCGGCGCGUACGAUUAGCUCCGUGUGGU